CUUGAUGGAGCCCAGGAACAGCGGUUCGGCCUCCGGCUCGCGCUGCCCGUAGGUGGCCAGCAGGGCCUGGGCCUC
rnacentral:antisense_RNA from 1 species